rnacentral:lncRNA from 1 species
UUUUUAGGGCCACACUCACAGCAUAUGGAGAUUUCCAGGCUAGGGGUCUAAUCAGAGCUGUAGCUGCCAGCCUACGCCACAACCACAGCAAUGCCAGAUCCGAGCCACGUCUGCAACCUACACCACAGCUCAUGGAAACGCCAGAUCCUUAACCCCCUGAGUGAGGCCAGGGAUUGAACCUGCAACCUCAAGGUUCUUAGUCGGAUUUGUUUUUUCUGCGCCACAAUGGGAACUCCAAAUUUGGAUAUUUUCUUUUAGAGAAACCAUUAAACACCCAAGUGAGAUGUCAAGAAACCUAGAGCCUAGGUUUCCCAGCCUGGAGCUCAGGGAAGAGGUCAGGUCUGAGAUGGGGUGUCUGGAUGCCAUCAAAUACUAUAGGUGUUAUUCAAAAACCGUGACUGGGCGAGGUCACCUAUCGGAAUAUAAAGAAAGAAGGGUGCCAGGGACAGAGCCCAGCGUUUCUCCAGUAUUUAGAGGCUUGGCAGAGGGAGAGACGCUUGCAAGAGGGCCUGAGACAUUGUGUGAGGAGGCCUGGGGUGGGGAGGGCGCUUUCAAGAAGGCGAGAGCAUCCACCAUGCUAAACCAUGGGUGUCCCCAACAGAUUGGGCCACAUGCAUGUCAUCAGUAACCUCAGCAGGAAGACUUGCAUCUGGAGUGAGGGGGAAAGGGCUGAGCAGCAUGCAUGUUUCGGGUUGAGUGUUUGAAGGGAUGCCAUUUCCGAGGCUUGAGAAAGCCUGCAGGUAAAUGAAAAACUGGAAAUAAGGGAUUUGUUCAAUCCCAUCCUUCAUGCCUAGGGCAGAAGCUCCUCCCUCCAUGCCCUAUGUAUCCAUUAUCACAGCCCUAAUAAUAUAUUGGGAGUAAUUUACAUCCUUUUGGCUCCCCCUGUUAGGGUGUGAGCUGCCGCGAGGGAGGGCCUCUGUCUGCGCCUGUGUCCCAGCACCUGAUGCUCAGGAAGCGUGCAGGAGAUGUUACCCCAGAGCCUGGUUUCCAAGCACAAAGGGUCCCUCCCUUCGCCACGGUGGGCUCAGGCCCCUCCUGUGCUCUGAAAAGCCAGAGGAUGCUUCCAAGACACUUGGGAGUGGCCCUCUGGGGGCGCGCAUGCGCGUGGGCUGGAGGAAGCCGGCGUCCAGCCCUCAGGGCUCUUCCAGGAAAGCAGAGGGCGGCCUCGUGGGCAUCACGGCCCCCGCGGCAGCUCCAGCCCUCGUUGGCUGCGAAGAUGCCUUGGUCAGAGGCCCCCGGGGCGGGGAGAACACGCGGGUCCAGCGCAGGGCUGCUCGGUCCCUCGGCCGAACCCGUCACGCCGCUCAUGCAGGCGCCCUGACCCCCUAACGACGGUACUGGGGAGGUCUUGUGCUUAGAGAGUCGUUCCCCCCUUGCCAGGACCCUCUUCCUCCAGUUCUGUUGGAAGCAAGAAGGUCUGAGAUUUGGGAGCAGCAAAGGCGGAGGCGAGGGCGUCUGAUUAAAUAUCCUCGUUUGGGCGGAAAUGAGUUUUUGAGUGAACAGAUGGAAAACCACUCUCUCCCCUGAGUCCCUCUGGCUUCUUGGCAACAGCCCAGAAAGAAUCUGCGUUCAAGGACGCCAUCGGCACGCAGGGCCCGUCCCUCAUGACGGCCAGCCCUCGGGCUCCCAGAAGCGAGGGUGAAGGAAGCGGCCCUGCGGGAGGAGAAGGUCCGUCCCGCCACCGUGGGGUGGGGCAGGGGAGGGGACACGGGGCGGCCUGUGAGCACCCCGUGUCCUCAGUUCUCCGGGCGUGCAGGGGCAGCUCCUCCCAACGAGGCUGAGAACCAAGGAAGAACAGGCAGGGAAGUGCCAAGACGCAGCGUCCAGCCCAGCCCAGUCCCAGAUCUAAACAGCUUCCUCCGACCCUAGUCCCUUCCAGCCCUAGAGCAAGGCUUCCUGAUCCCGCAGAAGCCAGGAAUCCUGGCAAAAACAGGGGACCUUCCCCUCCGAGAAAAGCACAGGGACCUAUGACCCGGUGUUGAUGGCCCCUCCCCCUGGGGUACCCUUCCUAAUGCUUUCAUAAAGACCCCAAUCCCAGGCCCUGCAGGCUCAUUGGUGCCCUAGGAAGGUCCUCUGCCCCACCGCAUCAGACUUCGACACACCCUGGGUUGUCAAUAAGUAUAGAAUGAGUAGACCAUCAAAGCCCAACCCAGUUUCUGAGCCUGCAGCAGGGCAUCUGGCUGUCCCUCACUGGAGCAGUGGUGGCCUGACAGCAAGACAGGAGAGGCACCAUGUAACCUGGUGUGAUGUGGAAAGGCCUCAGAGCAAGCUCCUGACACCGCCCACCUUGGCACUCUGAUGAGAAACCCUGCGGAUGUCUGGGGUGUGGGAAGACCUAUGCUCAGAAUGCAAACCGGGGUUCCAGUUCUGGGUUAAGAACCCACCAUAGUGUCCUUCAGGAUGCAGGUUUGAUCUCUGGUCCCGCUCAGCGGGUUAAGGAUCCGGCAGUUGCUACAAACGGCAGCAUGCGGCUCAGAUCUGGUGUUGCCAUGGCUAUGGUGCGAGCCAGCAGCUGCAGCUCUGGUUCAACCCCCUUGCCUGGGAACGUCCAUAUGCCACAGGUACAGCCAUAAAAAGGAAGAACAAAAAACAAAAAGCCACACGCUGUUGUCAGCAUCAGAGAUGCCGCACUGGGGGAGAACCCCCAAGCACCUGAGUAACGUGGACACAUCGUUUUUUUGGGGGGGGGUUUAUAGUCUACGUUCUUGACAGUUUCAUCCAUGGAGUUUCAUCCGUACUCCAUGCAGAACGUAGAUC